rnacentral:piRNA from 1 species
UGGAAGAGUAAAGUUUUUAGGAUAUGG